GACGAACGCUGGCGGCGCGCUUAACACAUGCAAGUCGAACGGAAAGGCCUGCUUUCCCUUGUGGAUUGCGGGUACUCGAGUGGCGAACGGGUGAGUAACACGUGAGUGAUCUGCCCCCAACUUGGGUAUAAGCCUGGGAAACUGGGUCUAAUUCCCGAUAGGACUGCAGGGUGGUGCCUGUGGUGGAAAACGAUUUUCUAGUGGUUGGGGAUGAGCUCGCGGCCUAUCAGCUUGUUGGUGGGGUAAUGGCCUACCAAGGCGGCGACGGGUAGCCGGCCUGAGAGGGUGGACGGCCACAUUGGGACUGAGAUACGGCCCAGACUCCUACGGGAGGCAGCAGUGGGGAAUAUUGCACAAGGGGCGGAAGCCUGAUGCAGCGACGCCGCGGGGGGGAUGACGGCCUUCGGGUUGUAAACUCCUUUCGACCGCGAGGAAGCCACCUGGUUGGAAGGGUGGUGACGGUAGUGGUAGAAGAAGCACCGGCUAACUACGUG
rnacentral:rRNA from 1 species